GNCUAGANGUGAAAGUCGAGCGGACAGAUGGGAGCUUGCUCCCUGAUGUUAGCGGCGGACGGGUGAGUAACACGUGGGUAACCUGCCUGUAAGACUGGGAUAACUCCGGGAAACCGGGGCUAAUACCGGAUGGUUGUUUGAACCGCAGGGUUCAAACAUAAAAGGUGGCUUCGGCUACCACUUACAGAUGGACCCGCGGCGCAUUAGCUAGUUGGUGAGGUAACGGCUCACCAAGGCAACGAUGCGUACCAACCUGAGAGGGUGAUCGGCCACACUGGGACUGAACACGGCCCAGAUCCUACGGGAGGCAGCAGUAGGGAUCUUCCGCAAUGGACGAAAGUCUGACGGAGCAACGCCGCGUGAGUGAUGAAGGUUUUCGGAUCGUAAGCUCUGUUGUUAGGGAAGAACAAGUACCGUUCGAAUAGGGCGGUACCUUGACGGUACCUAACCAGAAAGCCACGGCCAACUACGGGCCAGCAGCCGCGGUAAACGUAGGUGGCAAGCGUUGUCCGGAAUAUUGGGCGUAAGGGCUCGCAGGCGUUUCUUAGUCUGAUGUGAAAGCCCCGGCUCACCGGGGAGGUCAUGGAAACUGGGAACUUGAUGCAAAAAGAGAGUGAAUUCACGUGUACCGUAAAUGCGUAAAAUGUGAAGAAACCAGUGGCAAGGCGACUCUCUGUCUGUAAUGACCUAAGAACAAAGCGUGGGAGCAACAGGAUAAAUACCCGGUAUCCACGCCGUAACCAGAAUGCUAAGUUUAGGGGUUUCCCCCCUUAUGCUGCACUUAAGCAUAACCAUCCCCGGGGAAUACGUCCCAAGACUGAAAUCAAGGAAUGACGGGGCCCCACAACGGGGAACAGUGGUUAAUUCAAGCACCCGAAAACCUACCAGGUCUGACUCCUCUGAAAUCCUAAAAUAGGACUCCCUUCGGGGCAAAGUGACAGGUGGUGCAUGGUGUCCCCACCCCGGUCCUAAAAUGUGGGUUAAUCCCGCAACAACCGCAACCCUUAUUUUAGUUCCCAGCUGAUUCAGUUGGGCAUUUAAGGUGACUGCCGGGACAAACCGGAGGAAGGGGGGAGACGUCAAAUCAUCAGCCCCUUAUACCUGGCUACACACGGCUACAAUGACAGAACAAAGGGCAGCGAACCGCGAGGUUAAGCCAAUCCCACAAAUCUGUUCUCAGUUCGGAUCGCCGUCUGCAACUUGAAUGCGUGAAGCGGGAAUCGCUUGUAAUCGCGGAUCAGCAUGCCGCGGUGAAUACGUUCCCGGGCCUUGUACACACCGCCCGUCACACCACGAGAGUUUGUAACACCCGAAGUCGGUGAGGUAACCUUUUUGGAGUCCAGCCGCCGAAGGUGGAGGAGGGUGAGAUCGGCUGCUAAAUUCCUUAUAAUUUCUCCC
rnacentral:rRNA from 2 species